CUAAGGUAGCAUAAUCAUUUGUUACUUAAUUGGUAGCUAGAAUGAAAGGUUAAACUAGCUUACUAGGUUUGUUAAGUUAUAUAGAAGUUUAAAGUUAAGGUAAGAAUUCUUUAAUUUUCUAGGGGACGAUAAGACCCUAGAAGCUUAACAAUAAGGAUGGUUAGUUUUAAAAAUCUAUUUGUUUUACUGGGGCGGUAAAGAUAAAUAAGCUAUUUAUUAUUUAAGUGAUCCUAAUAAUAUAGAAAAAAUGAGCAAGUUACUCUAGGGAUAA
rnacentral:rRNA from 1 species